GUAUAAUAAAGCUUGCCAAAGACAGUAGGUGCAUUUUGCAUAAAGUUUCAACUGCCUACCGAGGAUAUUAGCAUUUAAUUAAAAUGUUUCUAUGCCUUUUCUGUCUUUGCAGAAGAGGCAUAUUUUUU
rnacentral:sRNA from 1 species